UUUAAUUAGUACAGCCUGUAUUAGUAAUGUCAUCUAUUCUUUACAGGCUAUGCUAAUCUAUGC
ensembl:miRNA